UUCAGGAAUACGUAUCCUGCCAUCAAACAAACAAACACACAUUAGCUUUCCACUUAAGAGAUUGACAAUAAGUGAGCUUAGAAUGAGCUACACAAACAAAUAAAAGUAAAAAAGAAAGAGCACGAGUAAAAGCCAAUUCAAGAACUCAAAAAUGUCACCUGCGCCUGUUGGGGAUUGAUCCCGAUCCCAUCUGCAGACAUGAAUACAGAUACAUCAGCAAUCUUGAGUAUUGUUGACAAGAAUAAAUCACUGUUAGAUCUUUAGGCAAUAGAAAGCUUCAGUUUUUAAACUUUAUAGACAGAGAAGUAGAGUUACAUGCAAUGAUAUAUAUAUAUAUAUGAUCCCAUAUCUAAGAGAAUUCUCCUGAUUACACAAAACAUAUGAACAUGAAACAGACAAAACUUGAAAAGGGAAAUGGUGUUCAUGAGCUUCUCGAAUGUCCGGUUUGCACAAAUCUCAUGUAUCCUCCAAUUAAUCAGGUGUGUGUGCGACUGUUCUACUCUUUCUCCGACACUCAACUUACUUUUGUGUAGUUAACGUUGACAUCUAGGUUUGUUAAUUUUCCCAUAAUGUCCCAAUGGCCACACGUUAUGUUCAAGCUGCAAACAACAAGUGCAGAACACGUGCGCCCUACAUGCCGUUACGAGCUCGGCAACAUAAGAUGCUUGGCUCUCGAGAAGGUUGCGGAAUCGUUGGAGGUUUCAUGCCGGUACGAGCAGCACUGCAGGUUGAGUGUUCAGUGACCGGAGACAUUCCAUCCCUUGUUGAGCAUCUCAAAGACGAUCAUAAAGUCGAUAUGCAUAGUGGUUGCACUUUCAACCACCGUUAAUGUCAAGUCUAAUCCUCAAGAAGUUGAGAAUGCUACAUGGUUUUCUUUUUUUUUUAAUUAAAAACUAGAUAUGAGUUGGUAACUUAUUAAUGGUUUGUGAACCAACAUAUUCAUCCCAAAGAUAAACCCAAGAAAAAUUCAAAGAUUAAUAAGUAUUAAAAAAAGUUUGGGACUCACCUACAGAAAGAGAAAAAAAAAAAAAUAGAAAAAGAAAAUGGUAAAUUGUGGAAGAGAAUUUAAAAGAGGGAAACUGAGAAUAAUUUGUUUUGAUUGGGGCAAAAUAGAUUAUUCUCCCGAAAUCCUGCGCAAAGAACAAACGUUUAGUUAUUUCCUUUUUUUUUUUAUCAACAAAAUAGUAAAAUUGAGUUAUUUCCUUAUAUUUGUUGAGUGUCGGUUAAUGAGGCGGGUUAUAAAUAGAGGUGGUGCAACGAGGUGAUUAAAGCUAUUACUUGUUUCUUUCUUUUUUUCUUCCCGAAAAAGCAACGAACAAAACGUGAGAGAGAGAGAGAGAGAGAGCAAUGAACACUUGUCGAAUAGUUCUCCAACGCAGGUUCCUUCCCGUGAGCAACUCCAAGAAGGAAAAAUUUGACAGAUUCAUACCGAACAGAGCAGCCAUGGAUUUCGACUAUGCUCACUUGGCUCUUAUGGAAGAAAGAGAAGAAGAAGAAGAGGUCAGUUCAUCCAGAAAAGCUUAUAGAAAGCAAUUGGCUGAGACUAUGGGUCUUAACCGAACUCGAAUCCUCGCAUUCACCAACAAACCACCUUCUUCUACUUCUCUUCACCAUCAGCAUCAGCAUCAGCAUGAGCCUCCUCGACGCAUUCCUCAGCGUCCCGAGAGAACUUUGGAUGCUCCUGGCCUUGUGGAUGACUUCUAUCUCAACGUUCUCGACUGGAGCAGUGCUAAUGUCCUAGCCGUUGCCUUGGCCAACUCUGUUUGUCUCUGGGAUGCUUCCACUGGCUCCGUGACUACGCUUGUCACGUAUGGUGAAGACCAAGGACCUGUCACAAGUCUAAACUGGGCGCAUGAUGGUAUCAACCUUGGAGUUGGGCUCAACAAUGGUCAAGUUCACAUUUGGGACUGUGUAACCAAGACUCUACUGAGAACAUUGCAAGGCUUCCACCACACACGAGUUGGGUCCUUGGCCUGGAACACUCAUAUAUUGACAACCGGAGGAAUGGACGGACGUAUCUUCAACAACGAUGUGCGGUUCAUGUCAUACCCUGUGUCUACUUACAAGGGUCACACUCAAGAGGUCUGUGGGCUCAAGUGGUCAGCAUCUGGUCAGCAACUAGCUAGCGGCGGAAACGACCGUCUAGUACAUAUAUGGGAUCGUUCUACUAGUACGCAGUGGCUGCACAGGCUCAGGGGGCAUACAUCUGCAGUUAAGGCUCUCGCUUGGUGUCCUUUCCAAAGCGAUUUGCUUGCAUCUGGCGGUGGUGCAGAAGAUAGGAAGAUCAAGUUCUGGAACACUCGCACAGGGGCUUGCUUGAAUUCGCUUGACACUGCUUCCCAAGUCUCUUCUCUCUUGUGGAGCAACAAUCAAAGAGAGCUGCUUUGCUCACAUGGGUCUCAGCUCACACUGUGGAAGUACCCGUCGAUGGUGAAAAUGGCUGAGCUCUCUGGUCAUACGUCAAGAGUUCUAUCUAUGACCCAGAGUCCAGAUGGUUGUACUGUAGUUUCAGCUGCAGGAGACGAGAAUCUGUGCUUUUGGAAUGUUUUUGGACUACCUCACACCACCGCCAAAAAAACUGUUCCAAAAGCAGCUCAUGAGCCGUUUUCUCAUGUCGCUCGUAUUCGUUGAAAACUCAACUACCAGAGGUUGACAAUGAAAAGAUAGAGUGCGAGGCUUCUGCAUAUCAGAAGAAACUUUUAAUGAAGAGGGUUGAGGAUUCGCUUGGAAACAUGAAGGUGCUGUUUUGUGCUCUGCGUAUUGUGUAUUCAGUUGUUUCUUAGUUAGUUUUCUUUUUACAGUCGCGUGCAGUGCACAACUCAGUGAUGGAGCUUCGGAAUAUAUAUCACAAUCAUCCAUAUCUCAGCCAACUUCAUACAGACGAGGGGUCAAGGUCAAAAAUUUCUGCACCUAUCCCCGCUCGUCUGGUUUGUUGAGUCUUUUUUUGAACAGUCAAUUGCACCUUUGCUUAUUACUUAAAACUGGCAAAAUUGCAACUGACAGAGGAUGAGUUUGAAAAGAUUUGUCAGACCGAUUCUCCCAAAGGCAAGGAAGAAGGACUGAGCCAAAUGCUGCAUCAAAUAUUCUGCGUGCUGAAAAGAGUUUGGCAACUGGUAAAAUUAGAUAACCUGCCUGGAAGCACUAGACAAUCCGUGGAACCUCUACGGAAAUCACAGCAGCCACUACAGAACCUGUAAAACGGGGACGUGGCAGGCCACAAGCAACAGGGGAUGCGAUGCUAGAUCAUCAUCAGUUAUUGGUUCCGAUGUUGUCUUACUUCCCCAGAUUUAUCUGUUCCAAUUGAGGUUAAGGUUGGUGAAUCGUCAGGAUCCAAAAUUACAUCGGUUUGGAAAUAAAAUGCGUCAUAGUCAAUACAGAAGAGAAGAGUAGAUGAUGAUGAUCCAUGAGGCCAAAGCAAAAUGGGGAAUAAGAAGAGAAUAAAGAUAUAAUAAGCUCUCUAAUGAUGGUUUUGAUUGGAACUGAAACGGAUCAUGUACAUAGCAGCAGUCUUGAGAGCUAUGAGAUUAGGUUGAAACAUUAUGUUUUGAAAUAUUACGAACUCUUUGUCUUGUAAUUUUUCCUGAUUUGUUUCAAAAAUAAAGACAGUUUUCCU